rnacentral:lncRNA from 1 species
AGUGAGCAAGCUCUGGAAUGUACCUGAGAAAUGAUAUGCAUGCAGAGAUUAGUUUUUUCUUUUCUUUUCUUUUUUUCUUUUUUUCAAUUCUUUUUUUUUUGCGUUUCUUUUGAAAAUAAACAUGCUAUGAUGCAGAUGAUGCAGACAAGACUGGCAGGCUGUGCAUCUCAGAACACAGGAUCGGAGCUUUGGCUCGAACUCUGAACAACACUUCAUCUGAAACCCAAAGUCAACUGAAUAACUGUGAUCUGAACCCAAUCUGAGAACACUGAGUCACCAACAGGACCACAAGUCAC